rnacentral:rRNA from 1 species
AUUGAACGCUGGCGGCAGGCCUAAUACAUGCAAGUCGAGCGAGCGGCGGACGGGUGAGGAAUGUCGGGGAAACUGUCGGUUGGAGGGGGAUAACUACUGGAAACGGUAGCUAAUACGGCAUACCAUCAGAUGUGCCCAGAUGGGAUUAGCUAGUGGGUGGGGUAACGGCUCACCUAGGCGACGAUCCCUAGCCGGUCUGAGAGGAUGAUCGGCCACACUGGGACUGAGACACGGUCCAGACUCCUACGGGAGGCAGCAGUGGGGAAUAUUGCGCAAUGGGCGCAAGCCUGAUACAGCCAUGCCGCGUGUGUGAAGAAGGCCUUCGGGUUGUAAAGCUCUUUCGGCAGGGAGGCGUUACCCAAACAGGAAGCACCGGCUAACUCCGUGCCAGCAGCCGCGGUAAUAC